rfam:Macrostomum lignano uti_cns_0007891, whole genome shotgun sequence.
UGCCUAUGAUGACCAUAAUUGCUACUCUUGAAUGGCAUGUGAUGAUGAUGUCACUUACCACCUUGUUCUUGUCUGAGGCA